rnacentral:rRNA from 1 species
CUCCUUUGACGUUAGCGGCGGACGGGUGAGUAACACGUGGGUAACCUACCUAUAAGACUGGGAUAACUUCGGGAAACCGGAGCUAAUACCGGAUAAUAUUUCGAACCGCAUGGUUCGAUAGUGAAAGGUGGUUUUGCUAUCACUUAUAGAUGGACCCNCGCCGUAUUAGCUAGUUGGUAAGGUAACGGCUUACCAAGGCGACGAUACGUAGCCGACCUGAGAGGGUGAUCGGCCACACUGGAACUGAGACACGGUCCAGACUCCUACGGGAGGCAGCAGCC